AUUGAACGCUGGCGGAAUGCUUUACACAUGCAAGUCGAACGGCAGCACGGACUUCGGUCUGGCGGCGAGUGGCGAACGGGUGAGUAAUACAUCGGAACGUACCUUAUCGUGGGGGAUAACGCAGCGAAAGCUGUGCUAAUACCGCAUACGCCCUGAGGGGGAAAGCGGGGGAUCGCAAGACCCCGCGCGAUUAGAGCGGCCGAUGCCUGAUUAGCUAGUUGGUGGGGUAAAAGCCCACCAAGGCGACGAUCAGUAGCUGGUCUGAGAGGACGAUCAGCCACACUGGGACUGAGACACGGCCCAGACUCCUACGGGAGGCAGCAGUGGGGAAUUUUGGACAAUGGGGGCAACCCUGAUCCAGCAAUGCCGCGUGAGUGAAGAAGGCCUUCGGGUUGUAAAGCUCUUUCGUCAGGGAAGAAACACCGGCUCUAACACAGUCCGGGAAUGACGGUACCUGAAGAAUAAGCACCGGCUAACUACGUGCCAGCCGCCGCCGUAA
rnacentral:rRNA from 1 species